rnacentral:rRNA from 1 species
UACGAAGGGGGCUAGCGUUGCUCGGAAUCACUGGGCGUAAAGGGCGCGUAGGCGGACUCUUAAGUCGGGGGUGAAAGCCCAGGGCUCAACCCUGGAAUUGCCUUCGAUACUGAGAGUCUUGAGUUCGGAAGAGGUUGGUGGAACUGCGAGUGUAGAGGUGAAAUUCGUAGAUAUUCGCAAGAACACCAGUGGCGAAGGCGGCUCACUGGCCCGGUACUGACGCUGAGGGUGCGAAAAGCGUGGGGGAGCAAAACAGG